UAUAGAUAUGAUAAACGGCACCUCGCUGGGUGAUGGAUGGUGUAUAGAGUGAACUACAUUAUUUCUCCGACGAAGAAGUUUUCGCAUUCAAUGGAAUAGAAACGAAACGGAUAAUUGGUUUUCAAUUUCAUUUUAUUUGUAAAUUAAUUUAUUGUCACAAAUUGUUUAUCUAAAAAUAAGAGUUCUUAAAAAAACAUACUUUACAAGACGAAAGAAAAAAAAUAAAAUUAAAAAUAUUGCGGCCGCUCCAAAUAUAUAUCAUCGAGCCGGAACAACAAAACAAACGUAUUUCGAGAAAAAGAAAAUGUUCUAAUUAAUUAAAAACAAUAAAAUU